AGUGAACGCUGGCGGUAGGCCUAACACAUGCAAGUCGAACGGCAGCACAGUAAGAGCUUGCUCUUACGGGUGGCGAGUGGCGGACGGGUGAGGAAUACAUCGGAAUCUACUUUUUCGUGGGGGAUAACGUAGGGUAACUUACGCUAAUACCGCAUACGACCUCCGGGUGAAAGCAGGGGAUCUUCGGACCUUGCGCGAUUGAAUGAGCCGAUGUCGGAUUAGCUAGUUGGCGGGGUAAAGGCCCACCAAGGCGACGAUCCGUAGCUGGUCUGAGAGGAUGAUCAGCCACACUGGAACUGAGACACGGUCCAGACUCCUACGGGAGGCAGCAGUGGGGAAUAUUGGACAAUGGGCGCAAGCCUGAUCCAGCCAUACCGCGUGAGUGAAGAAGGCCUUCGGGUUGUAAAGCCCUUUUGUUGGGAAAGAAAAGCAGCAGGUUAAUACCCCGCUGUUCUGACGGUACCCAAAGAAUAAGCACCGGCUAACUUCGUG
rnacentral:rRNA from 1 species